GGGGGGGGGGGGGGGGUGGGUGUGUGCGGUGGUGGGGGGUAUUCCUCUCUGCCUGUAGCAUUCUCUGAAGUCAAUGAAAUGAUUACGAUGGUAGCUCUCAAGUAAAUAAAACGAGACAACUACAGAUUUCAAUUUGUUAGCUUACUCAUAAGUGAAUCGUAGAACAAUUAAGAAAAUUUGCUUGGUUAGCGCCUUGCAACAAUAUCACAUAUCAAGCAGCCCACUCCUUAAUCAAGUACAAGGAAAGUAUCAACAAAAGAUGCCGAACUAAACUUACCAAAGAUUAGGAAGAUUGAUUCUCAAGUUUUAAUCUUUUUAAAGGAUCAGCAAAUUCCCACAGAUACAUGCCACAAUA
rnacentral:misc_RNA from 1 species